UAUUGUUCACCAUCGAGCAGUGAGAUCGUGGAUGCCAAGUACAUUGAAUUUUCAAAUUCUAAGAGGAAAUCUUAUGUUCAAUGGUGAAUCUGAGUGUUGGCACUGAAAAAUAGGCAGCUGGGCAGAAGGAAGAGACAAGAGCGCGAAGCACAGUAAGAGACGGUGGCUUCCACUGCUGUAAGUGCCGACAAAUGGGCUUUUCCGAUUUGGGAAGGAAGAAACUACCCAGUCAUGGCUAGGUGGUCUAUCUUGCUCUUGCCAGCCAAACUUUUAUUAAGGAUGCACCGCCAAAGGCCAGCUAGCUUUCAGCUCUAUGGCCCGUGUUUUUGCUUGGCAUGCAGCUGGCUUUUGCGUCUCUCACCGAUCAUGGAUGUCCUCAGCUGCACUAGCUCCAACAACAUGUGUUCACCGAGCCCUCCUGACAUGCAGAUUUUUUGCUGCAGUCUCUGUUUUUUACUAUACUUUUUGACUCGCUAAUGGGUUUUUUUCCUGUCACUUUUGCUGUAUUGUUAAACAUUUUGGAUUCAGCUUUGUUGACCUUAAAAUUCAUGUUUU